rnacentral:tRNA from 1 species
GCACCCGUGGCUCAGUAGAGCGUCAGUUUCCUAAGCAGAGAGUCGAAGGUUCAACCCCUACCUGGCACG